GAGACCGGCCGGAUGGCUGCUCCCUGUACCGGGUGCUUGCGGGCAAACUGGUAAAGGGGGAGGAAAGUCCGAACUCCACAGGAUAAGGCGCCUCCUAACCGGAGGGCCUCCCGCCCGUUGGUCGGGAGGACGGAAAGUGCCACAGAAAAUAGACUACCCCGCUUGUGCGGGGCAAAGCUGAAACGGUGGUGUAAGAGACCACCAGUCCCCGGUGCGAAUCGGGGAGCUGGCAAACCCCGCCUGGAGCAAGACCAAGCAGCUUCGUUCCCCUGUAACGGGGGAUGCGGUGAUCCGUCGUAAUUCUCACCACCGUCAGGUGGCUCGGGAUGCGAAGCGGGUAGGUCGCUAGAGCCCGGUCGUGAGGCCGGGCCCAGAUGAAUAGCCAUCGUCCGCCCUGCGGGUGGAUACAGAAUUCGGCUUACAGGCCGGUCUCCAUU
rnacentral:RNase_P_RNA from 1 species